rnacentral:rRNA from 1 species
GAUGAACGCUGGCGGCGUGCCUAAUACAUGCAAGUCGAGCGAACGGACGAGAAGCUUGCUUCUCUGAUGUUAGCGGCGGACGGGUGAGUAACACGUGUAUAACCUACCUAUAAGACUGGGAUAACUUCGGGAAACCGGAUCUAAUACCGGAUGAUAUUUUGAACCGCAUGGUUCAAAAGUGAAAGACGGUCUUGCUGUCACUUAUAGAUGGAUCCGCGCUGCAUUAGCUAGUUGUGGGGGGAGCGGCUUACCAAGGCAACGAUGCAUAGCCGACCUGGGAGGGUGACCGGCCAGAUGGGGAAUGAGCUACGGCCCAGACUCCGACGGGAGGCAGCAGUGGGGAAUAUUGCACAAUGGGCGGAAGCCGGAUGCAGCAACGCCGCGUGCGGGAGGACGGCCUUCGGGUUGUAAACCGAGUUCGCCUGUGACGAAGCGUGAGUGAAGGUAAUGGGUAAAGAAGCACCGGCUAACUACGUG